rnacentral:rRNA from 1 species
AAGAGUGAACUAGCUAACUGAAAUCUUAAGAUCACUUGUAUGUGGUACUUGAGAUAACGUAAGGGAAAACAAUGAUAUUACCUUACUAUAAGUGUUGUCCAAAUCACUGGUGCCAGAAGACUCGGUAACGCCAGAAACGCAAACGUUAGUCGUCCUUAUCAGGCGUAAAGGGUAAGUAGGCAGCUUUGAAAGUUAUUAAUUAGUAAGCUUUUGACUGAUUAAGUCAAAAUUUUUAAUAGUGAAUUAAAGCUAGAAUCAAAAAGAGGAUAAGCCAAAUAAUAUUUAGAGUAGGGAUGAAAUCCGUAGAUACUAAAUGGAAUACUAAAGGUGUAAGCUUUUAUCCAAUACUGAUUGACGCUGAGGAACGAAGGUGAGAAUAGAAAAUAGGAUUAGAGACCCAGAUAUCUCUCACUGUCAACGAUGAAUGGUAGUUGUUAGUUUUUAAAAAGACUAGUAACGAUGUUAACGCGAUAACCAUUCCGCCUUGCGAGUACGGUUGCAAAACUG